rnacentral:rRNA from 1 species
GAUGAACGCUGGCGGCGUGCCUAAUACAUGCAAGUCGAGCGAACAGACGAGGAGCUUGCUCCUCUGACGUUAGCGGCGGACGGGUGAGUAACACGUGGAUAACCUACCUAUAAGACUGGGAUAACUUCGGGAAACCGGAGCUAAUACCGGAUAAUAUAUUGAACCGCAUGGUUCAAUAGUGAAAGACGGUUUUGCUGUCACUUAUAGAUGGAUCCGCGCCGCAUUAGCUAGUUGGUAAGGUAACGGCUUACCAAGGCAACGAUGCGUAGCCGACCUGAGAGGGUGAUCGGCCACACUGGAAAUGAGACACGGUCCAGACUCCUAAGGGAGGCAGCAGUAGGGAAUCUUCCGCAAUGGGCGAAAGCCUGACGGAGCAACGCCGCGUGAGUGAUGAAGGUAUUCGGAUCGUAAAACUCUGUUAUUAGGGAAGAACAAAUGUGUAAGUAACUAUGCACGUCUUGACGGUACCUAAUCAGAAAGCCACGGCUAACUACGUG